rnacentral:rRNA from 1 species
UACGGGGGGGGCAAGCGUUGUUCGGAAUUACUGGGCGUAAAGGGCUCGUAGGUGGCCAACUAAGUCAGACGUGAAAUCCCUCGGCUUAACCGGGGAACUGCGUCUGAUACUGGAUGGCUUGAGUUCGGGAGAGGGAUGCGGAAUUCCAGGUGUAGCGGUGAAAUGCGUAGAUAUCAGGAGGAACACCAGCGGCGAAGGCGGCGCUCUGGGCCGGUACUGACGCUGAGGAGCGAAAGCGUGGGUAGCAAACAGG